UUAAGCGACUAAGCGUACACGGUGGAUGCCCUGGCAGUCAGAGGCGAUGAAGGACGUGCUAAUCUGCGAUAAGCGUCGGUAAGGUGAUAUGAACCGUUAUAACCGGCGAUUUCCGAAUGGGGAAACCCAGUGUGUUUCGACACACUAUCAUUAACUGAAUCCAUAGGUUAAUGAGGCGAACCGGGGGGAACUGAAACAUCUAAGUACCCCGAGGAAAAGAAAUCAACCGAGAUUCCCCCAGUAGCGGCGAGCGAACGGGGAGCAGCCCAGAGCCUGAAUCAGUGUGUGUGUUAGUGGAAGCGUCUGGAAAGGCGCGCGAUACAGGGUGACAGCCCCGUACACAAAAAUGCACAUGCUGUGAGCUCGAUGAGUAGGGCGGGACACGUGGUAUCCUGUCUGAAUAUGGGGGGACCAUCCUCCAAGGCUAAAUACUCCUGACUGACCGAUAGUGAACCAGUACCGUGAGGGAAAGGCGAAAAGAACCCCGGCGAGGGGAGUGAAAAAGAACCUGAAACCGUGUACGUACAAGCAGUGGGAGCACGCUUAGGCGUGUGACUGCGUACCUUUUGUAUAAUGGGUCAGCGACUUAUAUUCUGUAGCAAGGUUAACCGAAUAGGGGAGCCGAAGGGAAACCGAGUCUUAACUGGGCGUUAAGUUGCAGGGUAUAGACCCGAAACCCGGUGAUCUAGCCAUGGGCAGGUUGAAGGUUGGGUAACACUAACUGGAGGACCGAACCGACUAAUGUUGAAAAAUUAGCGGAUGACUUGUGGCUGGGGGUGAAAGGCCAAUCAAACCGGGAGAUAGCUGGUUCUCCCCGAAAGCUAUUUAGGUAGCGCCUCGUGAAUUCAUCUCCGGGGGUAGAGCACUGUUUCGGCAAGGGGGUCAUCCCGACUUACCAACCCGAUGCAAACUGCGAAUACCGGAGAAUGUUAUCACGGGAGACACACGGCGGGUGCUAACGUCCGUCGUGAAGAGGGAAACAACCCAGACCGCCAGCUAAGGUCCCAAAGUCAUGGUUAAGUGGGAAACGAUGUGGGAAGGCCCAGACAGCCAGGAUGUUGGCUUAGAAGCAGCCAUCAUUUAAAGAAAGCGUAAUAGCUCACUGGUCGAGUCGGCCUGCGCGGAAGAUGUAACGGGGCUAAACCAUGCACCGAAGCUGCGGCAGCGACACUAUGUGUUGUUGGGUAGGGGAGCGUUCUGUAAGCCUGUGAAGGUGUACUGUGAGGUAUGCUGGAGGUAUCAGAAGUGCGAAUGCUGACAUAAGUAACGAUAAAGCGGGUGAAAAGCCCGCUCGCCGGAAGACCAAGGGUUCCUGUCCAACGUUAAUCGGGGCAGGGUGAGUCGACCCCUAAGGCGAGGCCGAAAGGCGUAGUCGAUGGGAAACAGGUUAAUAUUCCUGUACUUGGUGUUACUGCGAAGGGGGGACGGAGAAGGCUAUGUUGGCCGGGCGACGGUUGUCCCGGUUUAAGCGUGUAGGCUGGUUUUCCAGGCAAAUCCGGAAAAUCAAGGCUGAGGCGUGAUGACGAGGCACUACGGUGCUGAAGCAACAAAUGCCCUGCUUCCAGGAAAAGCCUCUAAGCAUCAGGUAACAUCAAAUCGUACCCCAAACCGACACAGGUGGUCAGGUAGAGAAUACCAAGGCGCUUGAGAGAACUCGGGUGAAGGAACUAGGCAAAAUGGUGCCGUAACUUCGGGAGAAGGCACGCUGAUAUGUAGGUGAGGUCCCUCGCGGAUGGAGCUGAAAUCAGUCGAAGAUACCAGCUGGCUGCAACUGUUUAUUAAAAACACAGCACUGUGCAAACACGAAAGUGGACGUAUACGGUGUGACGCCUGCCCGGUGCCGGAAGGUUAAUUGAUGGGGUUAGCGCAAGCGAAGCUCUUGAUCGAAGCCCCGGUAAACGGCGGCCGUAACUAUAACGGUCCUAAGGUAGCGAAAUUCCUUGUCGGGUAAGUUCCGACCUGCACGAAUGGCGUAAUGAUGGCCAGGCUGUCUCCACCCGAGACUCAGUGAAAUUGAACUCGCUGUGAAGAUGCAGUGUACCCGCGGCAAGACGGAAAGACCCCGUGAACCUUUACUAUAGCUUGACACUGAACAUUGAGCCUUGAUGUGUAGGAUAGGUGGGAGGCUUAGAAGUGUGGACGCCAGUCUGCAUGGAGCCGACCUUGAAAUACCACCCUUUAAUGUUUGAUGUUCUAACGUUGACCCGUAAUCCGGGUUGCGGACAGUGUCUGGUGGGUAGUUUGACUGGGGCGGUCUCCUCCUAAAGAGUAACGGAGGAGCACGAAGGUUGGCUAAUCCUGGUCGGACAUCAGGAGGUUAGUGCAAUGGCAUAAGCCAGCUUGACUGCGAGCGUGACGGCGCGAGCAGGUGCGAAAGCAGGUCAUAGUGAUCCGGUGGUUCUGAAUGGAAGGGCCAUCGCUCAACGGAUAAAAGGUACUCCGGGGAUAACAGGCUGAUACCGCCCAAGAGUUCAUAUCGACGGCGGUGUUUGGCACCUCGAUGUCGGCUCAUCACAUCCUGGGGCUGAAGUAGGUCCCAAGGGUAUGGCUGUUCGCCAUUUAAAGUGGUACGCGAGCUGGGUUUAGAACGUCGUGAGACAGUUCGGUCCCUAUCUGCCGUGGGCGCUGGAGAACUGAGGGGGGCUGCUCCUAGUACGAGAGGACCGGAGUGGACGCAUCACUGGUGUUCGGGUUGUCAUGCCAAUGGCACUGCCCGGUAGCUAAAUGCGGAAGAGAUAAGUGCUGAAAGCAUCUAAGCACGAAACUUGCCCCGAGAUGAGUUCUCCCUGACCCUUUAAGGGUCCUGAAGGAACGUUGAAGACGACGACGUUGAUAGGCCGGGUGUGUAAGCGCAGCGAUGCGUUGAGCUAACCGGUACUAAUGAACCGUGAGGCUUAACCUU
rnacentral:rRNA from 1 species